rnacentral:rRNA from 1 species
UACGUAGGGUGCGAGCGUUAAUCGGAAUUACUGGGCGUAAAGCGCGCGCAGGCGGUUUUGUAAGCCAGAUGUGAAAUCCCCGGGCUUAACCUGGGAAUGGCAUUUGGGACUGCAAGGCUCGAGUGCGGCAGAGGAGACUGGAAUUCCUGGUGUAGCAGUGAAAUGCGUAGAUAUCAGGAGGAACACCGAUGGCGAAGGCAGGUCUCUGGGCUGACACUGACGCUCAUGCACGAAAGCGUGGGGAGCAAGCAGG